rnacentral:rRNA from 1 species
AGCGAACGCUGGCGGCAGGCCUAACACAUGCAAGUCGAACGAACUCUUCGGAGUUAGUGGCGGACGGGUGAGUAACACGUGGGAACGUGCCUUUUGGUUCGGAAUAACUCAGGGAAACGUGUGCUAAUACCGAAUGUGCCCUUCGGGGGAAAGAUUUAUCGCCAUUAGAGCGGCCCGCGUCUGAUUAGCUAGUUGGUGAGGUAACGGCUCACCAAGGCGACGAUCAGUAGCUGGGCUGAGAGGAUGACCAGCCACACUGGGACUGAGACACGGCCCAGACUCCUACGGGAGGCAGCAGUGGGGAAUCGUGCGCAAUGGGCGAAAGCAUGACGCAGCCAUGCCGCGUGAAUGAUGAAGGUCUUAGGAUUGUAAAAUUCUUUCAACGGGGACGAUAAUGACGGUACCCGGAGAAGAAGCCCCGGCUAACUUCGUG